rnacentral:rRNA from 1 species
CCUUGAAGGUCGAAGUCUGACGGAGCACGCCGCGUGAGUGAUGAAGGUUUUCGGAUCGUAAAGCUCUGUUGUUAGGGAAGAACAAGUGCCGUUCAAAUAGGGCGGCACCUUGACGGUACCUAACCAGAAAGCCACGGCUAACUACGUGCCAGCAGCCGCGGUAAUACGUAGGUGGCAAGCGUUGUCCGGAAUUAUUGGGCGUAAAGGGCUCGCAGGCGGUUUCUUAAGUCUGAUGUGAAAGCCCCCGGCUCAACCGGGGAGGGUCAUUGGAAACUGGGGAACUUGAGUGCAGAAGAGGAGAGUGGAAUUCCACGUGUAGCGGUGAAAUGCGUAGAGAUGUGGAGGAACACCAGUGGCGAAGGCGACUCUCUGGUCUGUAACUGACGCUGAGGAGCGAAAGCGUGGGGAGCGAACAGGAUUAGAUACCCUGGUAGUCCACGCCGUAAACGAUGAGUGCUAAGUGUUAGGGGGUUUCCGCCCCUUAGUGCUGCAGCUAACGCAUUAAGCACUC